rnacentral:rRNA from 1 species
UACGUAGGUGGCAAGCGUUUGUCCGGAUUUACUGGGCGUAAAGAGCGCGCAGGCGGUCGUUCAAGUCGCGUGUGAAAGCCCCCCGGCUCAACUGGGGAGGGUCACGCGAUACUGAUCGACUCGAAGGCAGGAGAGGGUAGUGGAAUUCCCGGUGUAGUGGUGAAAUGCGUAGAUAUCGGGAGGAACACCAGUGGCGAAGGGCGGCAUCCUGGACCGGUAUUGACACUGAUGAGCGAAAGCCAGGGGGAGCAAACGGG